AGAGUUUGAUCCUGGCUCAGAACGUACGCUGGCGGCACGCCUAACACAUGCAAGUCGAACGAAGUAGCAAUACUUAGUGGCAGACGGGUGAGUAACAUGUAGGUAUCUACCCUUUGGCCUGGAAUAACACGAGGAAACUUGUGCUAAUACCGGAUAAGUCUUUACGGAGAAAGCUUUAUGCACCAUUGGAUGAGCCUGCACUUGAUUAGUUUGUUGGUGGGGUAAUGGCCUACCAAGACUUUGAUCAAUAGCUGAUUUGAGAGGAUGAUCAGCCACAUUGGGACUGAGACACGGCCCAAACUCCUACGGGAGGCAGCAGUGGGGAAUCUUGCACAAUGGAGGAAACUCUGAUGCAGCGAUGCCGCGUGAGUGAAGAAGGCCCUUGGGUUGUAAAGCUCUUUCGUCGGGGAAGAAAAUGACUGUACCCGAAUAAGAAGGUCCGGCUAACUUCGUGCCAGCAGCCGCGGUAAUACGAAGGGACCUAGCGUAGUUCGGAAUUACUGGGCUUAAAGAGUUCGUAGGUGGUUGAAAAAGUUGGUGGUGAAAUCCCAGAGCUUAACUCUGGAACUGCCAUCAAAACUUUUCAGCUAGAGUAUGAUAGAGGAAAGCAGAAUUUCUAGUGUAGAGGUGAAAUUCGUAGAUAUUAGAAAGAAUACCAAUUGCGAAGGCAGCUUUCUGGAUCAUUACUGACACUGAGGAACGAAAGCAUGGGUAGCGAAGAGGAUUAGAUACCCUCGUAGUCCAUGCCGUAAACGAUGUGUGUUAGACGUUGGAAAUUUAUUUUCAGUGUCGCAGCGAAAGCGAUAAACACACCGCCUGGGGAGUACGACCGCAAGGUUAAAACUCAAAUGAAUUGACGGGGACCCGCACAAGUAGUGGAGCAUGUGGUUUAAUUCGAAGAUACGCGCAGAACCUUACCAACACUUGACAUGUUCGUCGCGACUCUAAGAGAUUAGAGUUUUCGGUUCGGCCGGACGAAACACAGGUGCUGCAUGGCUGUCGUCAGCUCGUGUCGUGAGAUGUUGGGUUAAGUCCCGCAACGAGCGCAACCCUCACUUUUAGUUGCCAUCAUUAAGUUGGGCACUCUGAAAGAACUGCCAGUGAUAAGCUGGAGGAAGGUGGGGAUGACGUCAAGUCCUCAUGGCCCUUACGUGUUGGGCUACACACGUGCUACAAUGGUAUCUACAACAGGAAGCAAGACUGCGAAGUUAAGCAAAUCCCUAAAAGAUACCUCAGUUCGGAUUGCACUCUGCAACUCGAGUGCAUGAAGCUGGAAUUACUAGUAAUCGUGGAUCAGCGUGCCACGGUGAAUGCGUUCCCGGGUCUUGUACACACCGCCCGUCACACCAUGGGAGUUGGUUCUACCUUAAGGCAAGGUUUUAAACCCUUGACCACGGUAUAGUCAGCGACUGGGGUGAAGUCGUAACAAGGUAACC
rnacentral:rRNA from 2 species